GACGAACGCUGGCGGCGUGCUUAACACAUGCAAGUCGAACGGAAAGGCCCUGCUUUUGUGGGGUGCUCGAGUGGCGAACGGGUGAGUAACACGUGAGUACCUGCCCUUGACUUUGGGAUAACUUCAGGAAACUGGAGCUAAUACCGGAUAGGAGCUCCUGCUGCAUGGUGGGGGUUGGAAAGUUUCGGCGGUUGGGGAUGGACUCGCGGCUUAUCAGCUUGUUGGUGGGGUUGUGGCUUACCAAGGCUUUGACGGGUAGCCGGCCUGAGAGGGUGACCGGCCACAUUGGGACUGAGAUACGGCCCAGACUCCUACGGGAGGCAGCAGUGGGGAAUAUUGCACAAUGGGCGGAAGCCUGAUGCAGCAACGCCGCGUGCGGGAUGACGGCCUUCGGGUUGUAAACCGCUUUCGCCUGUGACGAAGCGUGAGUGACGGUAAUGGGUAAAGAAGCACCGGCUAACUACGUG
rnacentral:rRNA from 1 species